UGGUGGAGCGAUUUGUCUGGUUAAUUCCGAUAACGAACGAGACUCUGGCCUAUUAAAUAGUACGCCGAUUCCGAUCUGUCGGCGUUAACUUCUUAGAGGGACAAGUGGCUUUUAGCCACGCGAGAUUGAGCAAUAACA
rnacentral:rRNA from 1 species